rnacentral:rRNA from 1 species
ACGGGAGGCAGCAGUGGGGAAUAUUGGGCAAUGGGCGCAAGCCUGACCCAGCAACGCCGCGUGAAGGAUGAAGGUCUUCGGAUUGUAAACUUCUUUGAUCAGGGACGAAUAAAUGACGGUACCUGAAGAACAAGUCACGGCUAACUACGUGCCAGCAGCCGCGGUAAUACGUAGGUGACAAGCGUUAUCCGGAUUUACUGGGUGUAAAGGGCGUGUAGGCGGUUUGGCAAGUCAGAUGUGAAAUCCCGGGGCUCAACCCCGGAACUGCAUUUGAAACUGUAGCCCUUGAGUAUCGGAGAGGCAAGCGGAAUUCCUAGUGUAGCGGUGAAAUGCGUAGAUAUUAGGAGGAACACCAGUGGCGAAGGCGGCUUGCUGGACGACAACUGACGCUGAGGCGCGAAAGCGUGGGGAGCAAACAGGAUUAGAUACCCUGGUA